UCGGUUAUAGUGUCCUCCGGG
rnacentral:misc_RNA from 1 species